rnacentral:rRNA from 1 species
UACGUAGGAUGCAAGCGUUGUCCGGAAUUAUUGGGCGUAAAGAGCGCGCAGGCGGUAUGACAAGUCAGAUGUGAAAGAGGCCGGCUUAACCGGCAAGGGUCAUUUGAAACUGUCAGACUAGAGUGCAGCAGAGGAUAGUGGAAUUCCCGGUGUAGUGGUGAAAUGCGUAGAUAUCUGGAGGAACACCGGUGGCGAAGGCGGCAUCCUGGACCGAGAUUGACGCUGAGGCGCGAAAGCCAGGGGAGCAAACGGG